AUACGGAGGGUGCAAGCGUUAAUCGGAAUUACUGGGCGUAAAGCGCACGCAGGCGGUUUGUUAAGUCAGAUGUGAAAGCCCCGGGCUCAACCUGGGAACUGCAUUUGAUACUGGCAAACUAGAGUAUGAGAGAGAGAAGUGGAAUUCCACAUGUAGCGGUGAAAUGCGUAGAGAUGUGGAGGAACAUCAGUGGCGAAGGCGACUUCUUGGCUCAAUACUGACGCUCAGGUGCGAAAGCGUGGGGAGCAAACAGGAUUAGAAACCCCAGUAGUCC
rnacentral:rRNA from 1 species